AUUGAACGCUGGCGGCAGGCUUAACACAUGCAAGUCGAGCGAGCGGCGGACGGGUGAGUCAUGUCUGGGAAACUGCCUUAUGGAGGGGGCUAACUACUGGAAACUGUAGCUAAUACCGCAUACCAUCAGGUGUUCCCAGAUGGGAUUAGCUAGUAGGUGGGGUAAUGGCUCACCUAGGCGACGAUCCCUAGCUGGUCUGAGAGGAUGACCGGCCACACUGGAACUGAGACACGGUCCAGACGCGAACGGGAGGCAGCAGAGGGGAAUAUGGCACAAUGGGCGCAAGCCUGAUGCAGCCAUGCCGCGUGUGUGAAGAAGGCCUUCGGGUUGUAAAGCAAUGGCAGCGAGGAGGCGUUACUCGCAGAAGAAGCAACGGCUAACUCCGUGCCAGCAGCCGCGGUAAUAC
rnacentral:rRNA from 1 species